rnacentral:tRNA from 1 species
AUUUUUAUAGUUGAAGUACAGCAGUGGUUUUUCAGGCCGCAGGUCCUGGUUAGAGUCCAGGUGAGAAUU